rnacentral:rRNA from 1 species
GUAACCGAGCGCAACCCUUGUCCUUAGUUACCAGCACGUUAUGGUGGGCACGUCUAAGGAGACUGCCGGUGGACAAACCGGAGGAAGGUGGGGAUGACGUCAAGUCAUCAUGGCCCUUACGGCCUGGGCUACACACGUGCUACAAUGGUCGGUACAAAGGGUUGCCAAGCCGCGAGGUGGAGCUAAUCCCAUAAAACCGAUCGUAGUCCGGAUCGCAGUCUGCAACUCGACUGCGUGAAGUCGGAAUCGCUAGUAAUCGUGAAUCAGAAUGUCACGGUGAAUACGUUCCUGGGCCUU